UAUUGUUUAGAUGUAUGUUUCAAAAUUUAAAAUUCGCAGUUGAGGUUAGUCUUCUAAAUUUAUAAUUGCCAAUAUGUAUGAAUAUUCAGAAUCUGAAGAAUCUGAAAACGAGCAAUACGAAAAUGUAACCGAUACUAAGCAAAAGAGCCUUCUAUUUUUCAUUGCCGCAGUAACAGCUAUUCAUAUUGCGCCGUUUAUCUUCAACAAGCUAAAUUUGGCAUAAGUCUGGAGUUGUUUUCAUAAAAUAGGAGUUUAUAUAUAGAAUUUCAAGCAAACGCAUUCUUCACCUGCCUUACGUAUCAACAUGGUCUAUGAUUCAUUAUAUUGUUAAUGAUGCAGUUAUGAGAGAAAUAAAUGGAACUGAACAAAUGGAGCAUGUUGUGUUUCUCCAUAGCUAUACGAUUGUGAUAUUCCUAAGUAGAAAGCAAAUGGUUGGAUUUGUUGGCCGUAGAGAUUAAAUUGGAACUAUUAUCAGCUGAACUGCAGUUCCGAUAAUUUUUUAAGAAGAG